CUUUACCAAGGUCUUGGUUGUGUGAUUCAGUGCCCUUUUUCAGAGAGCUUUUAGCAAAUAUUAUUCUACUAUUAAAGAAAAAGUGAAGACAAAGAGACCAGAGAUUGAGGGCUGAGUGGCAAAGUUUUACCACUAAGCAGGGAACUCAGUUUAGCACAGAGCAGGGUGAAACUGAAGGAGGAGAAAAGAAAGAUGUUUGUAAUGACUGAAGAUUGAAGACUCUGUUUUGUGCAUAUAUGAAAAUAUAUGCGGGAAAUGGGGAAGGCAAAGUGAGUGUGGCUGAUCAGUUGGUUAGGUCAAAUACGAACUUUUAUAAUAAACAAUGAGACCAGAACAAUCAGCUAAACAACAGAUAACUCUGUGGGCCAGAAUGUUGGUCAGACCUACUUUUAAAAAGCCUAGAAACUCUUAAGCAGAUUUGUUUGGACGGUAAUUGUCAGGCCUCUGAGCCCAAGCUAAGCCAUCAUAUCCCCUGUGACCUGCACCUACACAUCCAGAUGGCCGGUUCCUGCCUUAACUGAUGACAUUCCACCACAAAAGAAGUGAAAAUGGCCUGUUCCUGCCUUAACUGAUGGCAUUAUCUUGUGAAAUUCCUUCUCCUGGCUCAUCCUGGCUCAAAAGCUCCCCUACUGAGCACCUUGGGACCCCCACUCCUGCCCGCCAGAAAACAACCCCCCUUUUUCCUUUACCUACCCAAAUCCUAUAAAAUGGCCCCACCCCUAUCUCCCU
rnacentral:lncRNA from 1 species